GAUUUUGCCAAAUGUCUCACUGUGUGUGGAGAUGUGUGUGUUUGUGUAUGCAAACAAAACAAAACCCAAUUCUGUUGAGAACCACUGAGAUAGACAAAUACACCAGUAAUACAGAAUGCAUAGCUCAAUAAUAGACCACUGGUGUAUAUAUAGAAACUUGAUUUGUUUCAGAGAGAGAAUUAAAGUAGAUUAAGGUAAAUAUGGACUGUUUAACUGAUGGUCAUUUACUUACAGUAGAUGGAAAAAUUAUGCUGGAUCCCAACCUCAUAUCUAAUAUGAAGAGUUAAUUCUAAGUGAACCAAUAUCUAAAUGUGAAACGUGGAACUUUAAAUUUUUAGGAGGAAUGUAAAGAUAGAAAAGAAGAUCAAAGUGUAUUUCCUAUUCUUACAGUCAACCCAGAAUAUUUCCCUCCUGAUCAUCAAAACAGGUGUGGGAUUUCUCCCUGCCAACAACCAGUUCUGCAGAUUUUUCAGUGGACACCACUGGCUGCCCUGUCCUUCAGUUCAGUGAUGACACCAUCAGUGCUAGCACACAGAUUGCAAGCUCAUUCUCACAGGACCGCCUCUCACUUCAGACACCUGUGCUGGUGACCUGUCAGCUAUAAAUUGGAGUUCCCACAACCCCUAUUUUCUGUAGUAGACACAGAACUCAGGGAAACUUUUACUUACAUUUGGCUAUUUAUUAGAAUGGCGGUAUGACAAAUGGCACCAAUGAGGGAGAUACAUAGGACACAGUGAAGAGGGGAAGUGGAGUGUCCAUGCGCUCUGGAGACUCACUACUUCUAAGAACCAUCCGAAGUCCUCAGAAUUCAAUCUUCUGGGCGUGGCGUGGGCGUGGUGUGGCAUAGCAUAGCAUAGAAGCUUCAUUAUGUAGGCAUGGUUGGUUAACUCACUGGCCACUGAUUGAACAGUUCAGUCUUUAGCUCCUCUCCCCUCCUCAGAGGUGGGGCAGUACUGGGAAGUGGCACUGGAAGUUCCAGACCUCUAAUCCUUUUGGUUCCCAUGGCAGCCAGUCCCCAUCCUGAGUACCUGAAGUCCCCCAGCCAUCAGUCUUACUAGCAUACAGACAACCUUGUCUCCUAGUUCUGGGACUGUAGGAAUCUCUAUAUGUUAGGAAUGUGGAAAAGACCAUAUAUGUG
rnacentral:lncRNA from 1 species